rnacentral:rRNA from 1 species
ACUCCUACGGGGCGCAGCAGUGGGGGAUAUUGCACAAUGGGGGAAACCCUGAUGCAGCGACGCCGCGUGAGUGAAGAAGUAUUUCGGUACGUAAAGCUCUAUCAGCAGGGAAGAAUAAUGACGGUACCUGACUAAGAAGCCCCGGCUAACUACGUGCCAGCAGCCGCGGUAAUACGUAGGGGGCAAGCGUUAUCCGGAUUUACUGGGUGUAAAGGGAGCGUAGACGGCUGUGCAAGUCUGAAGUGAAAUGCCGGGGCCCAACCCCGGAACUGCUUUGGAAACUGUAAAGCUAGAGUGCGGGAGGG